GGAAGAGCGGCGGCGCGCGCGCCGGGGGCGCCGUCCCCAGACCCAAUCUCCCGGAUGACCGUGUGUUUGUGCGCGCACUUUCCUAAACAGACUGAAAGUGUCAUGAGGGCAGGGUCCAUGCCACUGUUGUAUUCCCAGCAUUAGCACGAUGUCCGGCAUAAAUACGCAGGAAGUAUUUGUUGAACGAAUGACAGCCUCACUUUGGCCUGCUUUUUUCCUGGCGCUCAGAAGAAGGUGAGAUAUAUUUCUGUAGGAGAACUUAUCUUUAAGUUAAGCCCUGUUAAGCCUAAAGUCACCCAAA
rnacentral:lncRNA from 1 species